UGUGAGCGUUCUGUGAUCGCCCUUGUAUACAAGUAAAUGCUGCAGCGUCUGUGUGUUUCUACCCUUAGACUCUUAGCUGAAGAAGUGUCUUUAGAAUAAAUCUCUUGACAUUUAUUUUGGUCCUUCGAGAGCCGGAUCAGAAAUAUCAGAACUGUUAUCUGUGACUCUGUUCCAGGAUCUGGCAUACUGUUUCCUGACGCCGUGGAGCCAGCACCGAAGACUGUGCACAGCCCUCUUAGACGAGGAGGACCCGGGGACGUUUGAGUCCGAGCUGGUCUGGUCCACGGCGAUGGGAUUCAGUCUGACGAUCCGAACCACCAGUGAGACGUCUGAGGGUGAGAAACACUAUUUUUGAUAUAUAAAACGGCCGCAAAGGUUUAAAGAAACGUGAUAAAUUAGGUUUAAGUUCGCCAAAAAGAACUAAGUUUAGACUGGUUUUAGAGGUAACCGUUAAAUACUUCGUGACAAAUUAGCGCGCAAAUGUCUAUGUGUGUGUAUGUGUCUAGAAGUAAGUUGAUUUACAGCACAAUAAGCUGCUGAACUACUUCUAUUUUAUUUGUUUUCUUUGCUGAGGCUCACGUACUGGUGACAAAGGAGAACGGUUGGGUUUCAUCUCAUAAAACUGGUACCGCUUCACCUAUAGGGUGAAGUCGAAGGCCGUAUCAGUAAACCACUCCGAAGUCAGGCGUGCCAGUGACGGCCCAGCAAAAUCUUUGAAAAUGGGGAAUAAACAAGCAAAAUUAACACCUGAUGAGGAAUGGUUAGAAAAACAACAAACCGGAGCAGGUAGAAUAAGUGCAAAUAGGUGGAGAAAUCCACGAAAAGCUAAAAACCGCAGCUGGGAAGGGAAAUGCAAUCCCUCAGCUGUUACCCAGCUGAAAGCUGUCCUGAAACAAGAAAUUACAUUAACAAAAGACCCAAAGAAGAAAUUAAAACGUGAAGAAGAAUAUAAACUUUUCCAAGCAUGGGAAACUGAAGCUGAAAGGAGAACUGAAAAUAAGAAAAGGAAAAUAAAAAACUAUUUCAACGCACUUUCAUUAAAGGAUUACUACCACCCAUUAGGUCUCAUGUAGAAAAGCAUUGGGUAACGCAAGAUACGGGCACAGCAGAUGAGGCGUUUCAAUAUGCUAACCAUGCACAGACAGUGGUGAAACGGAAAGAGAAGGUCUCAGUUUUUGGCCUCGAUGCUGACACUGUUCUCACAGCUUUUAGUGGAGGCUACAGGGGAGGCUUCAGAGGCCAAAAGAGAGGGAGAGGAAUGCGUAGGGGAAGAGCAAGAGGUAGAGACAGACCUAGAUACACACCAAACAGUAAUUAUAGCGCUACAUGCUGGAAGUGUGGAAAAAAGGGACAUUUUGCACGUGACUGUAAGACACAGAGAACGCCCGACACAGAAUGAUUAGCUGCAACCACUGUGGCUGUCAGACGGAUGAAAGAGAGAGACAGAAAAAACAAAAUAAAA